GAACGCUAGCGACAGGCUAACACAUGCAAGUCGAGGGGUAACAGGGUAGCAAUACCGCUGACGACCGGCGCACGGGUGAGUAACGCGUAUGCAACCUGCCUAGUAACUGGGGAAUAGCUCCCUGAAAGGGGAAUUAACACCGCAUAACACUAUUGAUUCGCAUGGAUUGGUAGUUAAAUGUAGCGAUACAGGUUAUAGAUGGGCAUGCGUGACAUUAGCUAGUUGGUGAGGUAACGGCUCACCAAGGCUACGAUGUCUAGGGGUUCUGAGAGGAAGGUCCCCCCACACUGGUACUGAGACACGGACCAGACUCCUACGGGAGGCAGCAGUGAGGAAUAUUGGUCAAUGGGCGCAAGCCUGAACCAGCCAUGUCGCGUGCAGGAAGAACCUGCCCUAUGGGUUGUAAACUGCUUUUAUAGUAGAAGAAACACAUCUACGUGUAGAUGUCUGCCAGUAUACUAUGAAUAAGCAUCGGCUAACUCCGUGCCAGCCGCCGC
rnacentral:rRNA from 1 species